GGGGAUGCUGUUAUUAUUGGCUAGGUCUAUUGGAACGGUUAUAUUCUCUAUUGCAAUAAUUCGCAAUUGUAAUUUUUGAUAUUUAUGGAAGCAAAAUGAGGAAUAUUUUCCUACGCAAUGAAAUUUUAUACACCAUAACUUAUAUAAACCACGAAAUAAAAUUAAAAUAUCCAACUAGCAUUAUCCAUAAACAAAAACAAAAUAUGAAUACAUUGUUUGAUCAACAAUUCAAAAGUUAAAAUAUAUGAGUUUGCAUACAAAAAUAAAGCUCUAAACUAAAAUAUCCUUGAACAUGAUAAUAGAAAGUCUAACAACGAUCAACAACACUCAAGUAAGGUCUUCAUCACUGCUUUCAUUCGCAAUCGCUGCACAUGCAAAAGACAAUUUAGAAAUAAUUAAACAUUUUUUUAAGAUAAUUGAAUGACAAUUAAGUGUGCACCAAAGCAGUCGAGGUGCAGCAACAAGUGAAUGGACAGUCAAAUAUGCAGAUAGUUACAGGUGUGCAGGAGAAGAGAGCUGGGGUGCACAAGGCUGUGUGUUCAAAUUUUGGUGUAAUUGAUGAUCGAGCUAAUUCAUUAAUCAAAACAAUCGAGGUGAAACAACAUGUUCUGGAUAAAACAUAUGGUAAAGAUGUGAAUGAAGAUGCUGGGCAACUUCAACAGGUGGUUCAUGAUAAAUCUGGACAAAGUUCAACAGUAGCAGCUCGAUUCCUUGGUGUUUCUAAUGGGACUAAAGAUGAUAAGAAUGAGAAGGCAACUAACACAAGUUCUCGAGAAAUUCCUAAAUAUCAUAACCAGGUCUCUAAGGAUGCAAAACCUAUAGAAAAAGGUGCACAAAAUAAGUUUUUUUACCAGCUUUCUCAUGUAAAUAUAAGUGUGAAACAAAGUUCUUAGUCACUAAGUACACCGAUACAACUUGCAAUAGAUACUGCAAUACAGAAACUGUCACCAUUGGUGCUGCAAUACGAGUCAACUUCUUCAGUUCUUCAUAAUAAGUAUCCCAUUCCCUUGUUAUUAUCCAUCUGCUGUUCUCUCCAUUUUCCAGCCAUUUAAACCAGACUGUUAAACUUUUGAGAACAACCUUCUUUUUAUUGAAGGCAUGGAAGCAAAAUCAAUAUAAUCGCACAUGAUUCGUUUUCACUAUCUAAGCUCUCAAGUGCUUUGGCUAAAAUUAACCAAAAGAUAAUGAUCCUACAAUGCACAAAAUAAAUGAGCAGAAUCUUGUUUAGAAGAUGUAUUGAGACCAAAUUCUAAACACUUAUCAUAUAGGACAAGAAACUAAGGAUGAAGAACUCCUACAACAACUACUACUACGCCUCAAUUACAAGCAAGUUGAAGUUCGCUAUAACUAUCCUCACUGACCAUAUAAACCCGUCUCAACAGCAACAAUUCUUCCAUGGAUUCAGCCUUGUUUAAAUUUGUAAAAAUUAGCUACAGAUAUAUGCUGCAGUUCUGAUUUCAAUUGGACUGUACAUACCAACUUAUAAGUUCAUUGUAUUAGGUGUUUCUAUGUCUACUAUCCAUAGUCCCUUUCAUUUGCUUAAAAGUUUACUGUACAUAUAAUAGUUUAAGGACUUGAGCCUUGUACCUUUACAUUUUAUAAUGAAGUAGGCAGGACUAGAAUUAGGCCGUCUUUUCUGCCUUUGCUUAGAAAGAGGUUUGGAUAUUCACUAUUCAAGGAAAGUUCUACUAUUGUGAAACAUAUUGUGACCAAAUAACAUCAUAAAAUUGGACAAAAUAUGUAAUUGGAAAUGGGUAAGUUAAGUUCCUAGGUCGUAAUUAUAAAGAAAAGACCUCAACAGUUUACAACUUGCACAGAAUGCUUAUAGCUUUUCGUUCUUUGCAUUAAGUUAUUAAUUACAACUAUGAGAGUAUGAUUGACGAGCUACCAAUAAGUCGAAAAAGCUCUACUUUCGAAAGUUUAUUAGAUGGAUUUUAAGGAUUAGAUAGCAUCAUUUUUACCAAGCAAGAAAAUUUAGAAAGGCAAGCAAUUUGUUUGAGAAGAAUAACCCCAAUGUCUAAUAGACGUGAAGGCAACCAGUUACCCGUUAGACUAAAGCACAGACAUGAACGAAUCUCAAAAUUUUAAGUGAAAGCAGCACAAGCAUAAUCGGACAGAAGUAAAAGAAUGUGUUUAUCAAAAAUAUUACCAGAAAAAAAAAAAAGGAGCAGCGAAACGAUUUUUCUGAAUAACCAAGACAGCGAACAACGAAGAUCGAACAUCGAUAGCAAACAUCGAACAAAGAAAAUCUCAUGGUUUCAAACAGAAAAUCAAAACCUAAUAAAUGAAUCCCCCAAUUUCGCAAACUAGAAAUCACAAAAUGUAUCAUGUAAUACAAACAAAGCAUAAGAAAAAUAAUGGGUUUAUCGGAACUAUUACCAAAUAAAGAAAACAUAAGGGAAAAAAGAAAGCUAAAAUCGAAUAGUUAUACAAACAUCAAACAGGGGAAAAAUCAAUAGCCUACCUCGGAGAUUGCUCGUAUGUUAGCCGAAACUGGUCAUCAUUCACCGGCAGUUAUCGUCCUUCGCCCGAGCUGGCCGACAGAGCUCGUCGAUGGUGAGGUCGAUGUGUUCUAGGUUGAGGCUGAGAGAGACGAUAUCUAAUUCAAGGUUUUGAGAGAGAGAGAGUGACGGAACAUUCCAUAAUAAUGUUUUAAUUUAAAAAAUAUAUUAAAGAGUUAU
rnacentral:lncRNA from 1 species